AAACUCUGCCUGCUUUUAGAUGGCUCCUCUUAGAACUAUGCAUCUCUCCUGAUACUUGGAUGCUUUUCCUCUGACUGAUGAAGAUCCUGAAUACCAAAGAGGGCCGCUGACAGGUCUAGGAGUACACUUCUAGCACCUAGCAGAGAGAGGCUUCACUACAUCAUGCUUCCUGACAUCUCUCCCUUUGAAGAGCAGUCAGACUCCUGCUUUGCUCUUCAGACUUAAUUUGGGGGUUUAACAGCAUGGCUGGGCUGGAGUUUUUUGAUAGUGUUCGACUUCAGCAAGUCUCUACACGAGCCUCUGAUCUAGUGUUGGAACAAAGCAAUGGCGAAGGGAAGCCCAGCUUGGAAUGAGUCAGGCC
rnacentral:lncRNA from 1 species